UACGUAGGGUGCGAGCGUUGUCCGGAAUUAUUGGGCGUAAAGAGCUUGUAGGCGGUUUGUCGCGUCUGCUGUGAAAUUUCGGGGCUCAACCCCGAACUUGCAGUGGGUACGGGCAGACUAGAGUGUGGUAGGGGAGACUGGAAUUCCUGGUGUAGCGGUGAAAUGCGCAGAUAUCAGGAGGAACACCAAUAGCGAAGGCAGCUCGCUGGGACGUUACUGACGCUGAGGCGCGAAAGCGUGGGGAGCGAACAGG
rnacentral:rRNA from 1 species